rnacentral:sRNA from 1 species
CUUCCAGGUGCUGGUGGCCACGCACGCAGGCUUGUACCGGAAGCCGGUGACAGGCAUGUGGGACCAUCUGCAGGAGCAGACCAGGCAAAGCAGCCCCAGG